AAUAUUUCGCAAUGGAGGAAACUCUGACGCAGCGACGCCGCGUGAGCGAUGAAGGUCUUCGGAUCGUAAAGCUCUGUCCUUGGGGAAGAAGAUCGAAAGAUUUGACGGUACCCGAGGAGGAAGCCCCGGCUAACUACGUGCCAGCAGCCGCGGUAAUACGUAGGGGGCAAGCGUUGUCCGGAAUUAUUGGGCGUAAAGGGUGCGUAGGCGGCCUUUUAAGUCAGAUGUGAAAGCCCACGGCUUAACCGUGGGACUGCAUUUGAAACUGGGAGACUUGAGUGCAGGAGAGGAAAGUGGAAUUCCUAGUGUAGCGGUGAAAUGCGUAGAGAUUAGGAGGAACACCAGUGGCGAAGGCGACUUUCUGGACUGUAACUGACGCUGAGGUACGAAAGCGUGGGUAGCGAACA
rnacentral:rRNA from 1 species